GAGGGCUGCACUUGCGUAGUACGUGUAUGUGGGGGCAGUGGUUGGGCUUGCUGGGCCGGAGCUACUCGUUCGCCGUCCUCGGUUUAACCUAGGGACGGGUUGGAGCCUGUCUGCCUUCGCCCCGGCCGCCUUUCGCAAGGCCACGGUUUCAUCUGCUGUUAUCUGUAACCUCAAACAGGAGUCUUUGCUGCCACCCGCACCUUGCAGCGUUUGUGAGAGCUGCGAGGAUGGUGAAUGUUCUGAAGGGCGUCCUGAUUGAAUGUGACCCAGCAAUGAAGCAGUUUCUGCUCUACUUGGAUGAGUCAAAUGCUUUGGGAAAGAAGUUCAUCAUACAAGACCUGGAUGAAACUCAUGUCUUUGUAUUAGCAGAGCUGGUUAACUUCCUUCAGGAGAGAGUGGGCGAGUUAAUGGACCAAAACUCUUUUCCUAUUACUCAGAAGUAAAAAGAUGAGAAAUGAGAUUGCUGCCAAUUCUGAAAAAGCAAAUUUCAGUAGUUUGGGUUGUUACUGUUUUAAUAGACUGUGGUUAGUAAGUUCUGCAUUAAAGUGGCUAUUUCAGAAAGUGAGUAAUUUUCAUAGCCAAAAUACUCUUGAACUGAAUUUUAUUUCUCACUUUGAAAUAUUAUAGUGUCUUUAUUAAAAUCCAUAAAAUGAUACACUUAAGAACAUGCAGAGGGGUCUUUUUGAUGCGUGAUUUCUGGUUUUCCUUUAGAGUUAUCUUGUGAAAUGGUAUGACCCAGAAAUGAGUGAUGUUUCUGUAUUGGAAUCCCUUAUGAACCUUUCUGAUGUGUUAUAUUCCUGUGGAAUUGAUUAAAUUUGCUUAUAGAGUGACUGAUUGAAUGUAAAGCAAGUCUGUGCUUGAUGGAGCAUCCCCAUACAUUGGAGGCAUGGUCAGAUGAAAUCAAAUACUUCUUUAACUUUAUGAGUUUUGGAUACCAAAAUAAUAGUUUGGCUUUAUUUUUUUGUCACACAUGUUACACGUACCUCAUAAUAAUUACCUACUUUUACCAGCAUUAACAUUUCUGUGUUGUUCUGAGUUUGGGGAGUGGUGGUGAGGAUUUAAGGUUUUGACACCGGGUGAAUCGUGCAUCAUAACACUGAGUUGUAAACUGGUUAUUUGCAUAUCAACAGUGGCAAAUUGAAGGGGCAGCACCAACUUGAGACCAAUCCUUUAGAUAUAACUGCUUGUGUGGUUGUUUUUUUUUUGUUUGUUUUUACUGAUGCUAAUAUGUAAUUGCAAGAAUAGGAAGGCGAAAAUAAAGAGUUGAUUGCUCUAUUUAAUAAGAAGAAAUUUGAUUUUGUUUUUGUUUUAGCUCUUUUCCCCCUAUUGCCACUUUGAUAAAACUUGCAAAGAUAAGUCCUCAUUUCUUUACACUGAAAGUGUAAAAAAUCUGCAUGUGUAAUGAGUAGAUAGAACAUCUUUCUAGUUUGUUCUCAUGUACUUGAGGUGACCUCACAGAGUUCUGUGCAUUAACAAGAUCCUUUUCUAUGUAAGUGAUGGGAUUUCAUGGUUUUAUUAAUGUGGUUUAUUUUAACUUUUCUUAGUUGGCAUCAUUGCCAUAAGCGUCAAAUUUCAGUCAGCUCUCAAGCUGAGCCUUCAAAAGUAGGUCUCUGAAAAUAAUAUUGAUGGAAAACUGCAUUGCUGCAAUAUAGCUGUCUAUAUAUAAAUAUGUACAUAAAGAGAGGCUUUUCCAACCAGAUAAUAAGCCAUUGGAGAAAAUUAGUGAGCUUUUCUAACAAAUCUUUCCAAAUUUCCCAAUUCCACAGAGGAUUUGAGCCCUCUCUCUGCACUGACUUUCACAAAUGAUCCCAUGAAAGCUGGUAUUGCUUAAUGAUUAGUGAAAUGAGGCAUUACUCGCUAUGUCAGGAUUAGAUCUCCAUGUCUGUUGUAUAACUUAGACAUUGGCAAGGCUUAUGUUUGCUAUACGUAAGUAUUUCAAUACACUUUGUAGGUUUUCAGUGAUGGGAAAACAGAUUUUUCCUAAAUUAAAUCUUUGGUCUUAUGACUUACCAACCAACAAGACAUUUCUAAGUAAUAGGUGCUCUGAUAGAAAUAUGAUAUUAAUCUCUUUUAAUGUGAAUAGAGUUGAUCCUUUACAUCUUCGUUUUGUACCAGAAGAGGUGUGGGCCUAACAAUUUCAAGGCAGACCAGUAAGGGGAGCUCUUACCAACAUUUUAAACUGCUUUUUGUAGAAUUGCUGCAGCAUAGGUAAUGGUGGGUCACAGUUUUAUUGUGCUUUGAAGCAUUAAUAUCUCACUCUGGAAAUGCUUUAAGCUACAGAUGAACUAUUUUAACUUCAAAGAAUCCCAGUGGAAAGACAUUAGUGCAGGAGAGUUUGGAAUGCAGUUUAUUUAACUGAAAUUUCUUAGAUGUUUUAGUUACCUCAUGUUUUCUUUUUGUAGUCAGGCUGCCAAUCCCCCCACGUUAUAAUAAUGCAGCUUGAAACUGUCAUUUUCAGAUGUUACUGCUUGGUCUCAAUGUCUCCACACCACCACCCAGCUUUCAGAGUUGCUCUGUAUCAAGCCACAUCGUUUUCAGUGAGUAUAAAUAAGAGGCCAACAGCAACAAAAACAGUUCCUGAGUUGUCCAAAGGAAAAGUUAACACAUUUCUAUAAUAAAAGUUUUAAUGUGAGGACAUACACUGUGAUACUUUGCACUCUAGUGGUUAUAUUUUUCAUAUAGGAAAAAAAAAUCAUAAUAAUCUAUUCUCUGAUUGUGUGGCAGAAAUAAGCAGGUUAAUUACAGAAAAUAAAUUGCUUAAUGUUAGGACUAUCUAGUUUCCAAAAAACACCUCUUCAGCUGUAAUGUUUAGUGUUUGAGGACUGUAACAUCCUUCUGGUGAUGGCUGGGUUGCCAUUGGGUAAAUUGGGUAGCU